rnacentral:rRNA from 1 species
GGAUAACAUACCGAAAGGUAUGCUAAUACGGGAUAAUAUAUUUGAGAGGCAUCUCUUAAAUAUCAAAGGUGAGCCAGUACAGGAUGGACCCGCGUCUGAUUAGCUAGUUGGUAAGGUAACGGCUUACCAAGGCAACGAUCAGUAGCCGACCUGAGAGGGUGAUCGGCCACAUUGGAACUGAGACACGGUCCAAACUCCUACGGGAGGCAGCAGUGGGGAAUAUUGCACAAUGGGCGAAAGCCUGAUGCAGCAACGCCGCGUGAGUGAUGAAGGCCUUCGGGUCGUAAAACUCUGUCCUCAAGGAAGAUAAUGACGGUACUUGAGGAGGAAGCCCCGGCUAACUACGUGCCAGCAGCCGCGGUAAUACGUAGGGGGCUAGCGUUAUCCGGAUUUACUGGGCGUAAAGGGUGCGUAGGCGGUCUUUCAAGUCAGGAGUGAAAGGCUACGGCUCAACCGUAGUAAGCUCUUGAAACUGGGAGACUUGAGUGCAGGAGAGGAGAGUGGAAUUCCUAGUGUAGCGGUGAAAUGCGUAGAUAUUAGGAGGAACACCAGUUGCGAAGGCGGCUCUCUGGACUGUAACUGACGCUGAGGCACGAAAGCGUGGGGAGCAAACAGGAUUAGAUACCCUGGUAGUCCACGCUGUAAACGAUGAGUACUAGGUGUCGGGGGUUACCCCCUUCGGUGCCGCAG